GACCCAUUAGCUCAGUUGGUAGAGCAUCUGACUUUUAAUCAGGGUGUCUGGCGUUCGAGUCGCCAAUGGGUCACCA
rnacentral:tRNA from 1 species